AUAGGGAGAAGUGUUCAUUAUUGGAAGAAAGUUUUGCCAUUGUUGAAGAUAAUAAAGAAGAACAGUAUUCCUGAACCUAUUGAUCCUCUGUUUAAACAUUUUCAUAGUGUAGACAUUCAGGCAUCAGAAAUUGUUGAAUAUGAAGAAGACGCACACAUAACUUUUGCUGUAUUGGAUGCAGUAAAUGGAAAUAUAGAAGAUGCUGUGACUGCUUUUGAAUCUAUACAAAGUGUUGUUUCUUAUUGGAAUCUUGCGCUGGUAAGUAGAUGCGGUACUUGAGCUAAAAGUUUUAUUUAUUUAUUUAUUAUUUCUUUUAAAAGACGGGGUUUCUCUGUUGGCCGGGCUAGAGGGCAGUGGCACAAUCUUGGCUCACUGCAACCUCUGCUUCCCAGGCUCAAGUGAUUCUUGUGCCUCAGCUCCUGAGUAGCUGGGAUUACAGGCAUGAGCCACCAUGCGUGGCCAAGCUGAAAGUUUUUUGUUUUAAAAAGCUAAUGAUUUCAUAAAAGCACUAUUUGUAUAGAUUUUUCACAGGAAGGCAGAAGACAUUGAAAAUGAUGCCAUUUUUCCUGAAGAACGAGAAGAAUGCAAAAAUUAUCUGAGAAAGACCAGGGACUACCUAAUAAAGAUUAUAGAUGACAGUGAUUCAAAUCUUUCAGUGGUCAAGAAAGUAAGUAGCAGGUUGUUGUAUGUACGUUCUUACUGAUAACCCACUGGUCAAUGUUUUUGCGUUGGUCUUAUAUUUUGGUAAUUU
rnacentral:lncRNA from 1 species